rnacentral:lncRNA from 1 species
GAGUAAUGAUACUAGUAAUGGCAGUAAUGGCAAUUUUGGCAGCACGCCCCCGCUGGUCGUAUUGCCAUUU